UAAAACCUUGAGGGGAAGCUCGAAAGGAAAAGCCCAAAGAGGACAAUAUCUAUUGGCUGUGGGCUUGGGCUGUUAUACGAGGAAUGAAAUGGGGGCAGGGAAGCCAUCCUUGGCCUUGUCCGUUCCCUUGCUUAGUGCGUUGUAUACAUAUGUAAUUUAUAAAUCUAUUGUUUGGCUUGGGAACCUUGCCAAAUUAGGACUUGGGACUUUCUCUGUGUUCAUAUAGGAUCAUCAUUUCUAAUCUUAACACCUGAGACCUCUUAGUAUCUGUAGGUUUUCUAUAAGUCUAUUGAGAAGAUGAAUACAAAUUAAUAUGAAUCAGAUAUUUCUGCAGUCGGAGUGGGUACUUGGUGCCUAAUGAGAACAUUACAUUUACUUGGAAAGACGAGGCUUCGGUUCAAGUAAUGCAAGUAUGAAAUAGACCACUUGAACUUGGAAGAUUAUGGAAGAAAAAUUUGAGUUUGUUUAAAAUAAUGUUGGAUAGAAAAUAAACGUGGUGGUGACGUGGAUCUACGUGGCAACUUGUGCACUUGUCUGGACGAACUUUUCAUUCAACAUUCUAGUGGUUUUUCUAUUCCAAGCGUUGUUUUGAAGCACUAAUGAAUAUUUUUUCGAUCUCUUGCUGGCAUCUUGUUCUGUUUUUAUAACAUUAAGUGUAACCUUUAAUGCAAUUUAAUGGUGGUUUCAUUGUUUG